AACCCUGCCGAUUAACAACACAAAAUCGGUCGCGCUGCACAUGCGUCAUUUUUGACCUAGCGCCUUGACGUGACAUCCGAGCAGAGCAGGGCAGUGUACAGGGAAGCAUAAAGUGCCUUAGACAGAAUCAGUGUCACCAACUACACAGGAAAGUAUGAGCAAGAUGGACAAAAGCAGUUCCUCUGGAUGUACACAGGAGGAAAACGUCCUUCACCUGGAAAGACAUGGUCAUGUUCCUUGAGGGAGAGGACUGCUAGCAUUGCAUGUACGGUCAGAGACCCCAAGACUGCUGGUGAUGCCAGGAGUGAUGUUAGGAGAUACGGGGGAAAAACUGGGGGAGAACGGACUGGACAAUGAACAGUGCUGUUGGCAGUGUAUAAAUGGCUGGUGUGUUUCCUUACGAGAGAAUGUCAGAGGAGGCUGGCCCAGGAGAAGGCUUCUGGCAAGGCUGACUUCGAGGCUCGCAGAUGUGUAAGAAGCUGUGGUUUACGGUGAUGGAGGGGAACAAGGUUCUAGAGCAUCCAUCCUGGUGGGCAGAGUUCAUCUCAGACAAGCCUGUGGUGGGUUUUCCUCUGACCCAAGCUGUAUGGUUCUAGAUCGCGGUUCUAGAGUCCCUGGGUCCCUAGAUGACUGUUGAAGCCACGGUACCUACAUUUUGGAAGCUAUAUAAAUGAAGUCGUUGUCACGCCUCCUGGUUCGCGACGAAGCUACAGACACCUUAAUACUUUAUGUGAGAUUAACAAACAUGUUAAAUUAAAAAUAUAUAAAAACAGUUUACUUAAAGUAUACAUUUGAGUUACUAUAUUGAAAAUGAAAUACAGAAAUGUCUAAUGUACAUAAGUAUUCACACCUGAGUCAAUACAAGUUCAUUAUAAUCCACAUAAUAAUUCACAUUUCCUGUUGCUGCAGGAUUAUUUUCCUGCUGUAGCAAACAUGCUCAAAUUAAAUUCCUACAUCUGUAUGGCCCUCAAUUUCAAACCCCCCAAAAAAUAUAAAAUAAAGGAUUUAUUUACGAUGGUAAAAUGGGGGUAAUUGUGGGAAACUGCCUAUGAAGGGGAGUAGCAACACAUCUGCCACGCUGAUCCACAACACUGGAGCUCCCCAGGGGUGCGUGCUUAGUCCCUUCCUGUACUCCCUGUUCACCCAUGACUGCAUGGCCAGGCAUGACUCCAACACCAACAUUAAGUUUGAAGACGACACAACAGUGGUAGGCCUGAUCAACGACGAGACCUGGCCGGGUGGUGCCAGACUAAGGAAAUGAUUGUGGACUACAGGGAAAGGAGGACUGAGCACGCCCCCAUUCUCAUCGACGGGGCUGUAGUGGAGCAGGUUGAGAGCUUCAAGUUCCUUUUUGUCCACAUCAACAACAAACUAGAAUGGUCCAAACACACCAAGAUAGUUGUGAAGAGGGCACGACAAAGCCUAUUCCCCCUCAGGAAACUAAAAAGAUUUGGCAUGGGUCCUGAGAUCCUCAUAAGGUUCUACAGCUGCAACACCGAGAGCAUCCUGACUGGUUGCAUCACUGCCUGGUACGGCAAUUGCUUGGCUUCCGACCGCAAGGCACUUCAGAGGAUAGUGCGUUACGGCCCAGUACAUCACUGGGGCUAAGCUGGCUGCCAUCCAGGACCUCUACACCAGGCGGUGUCAGAGGAAGGCCCUAAACAUUGUCAAAGACCCCAGCCACCCCAGUCAUAGACUGUUCUCUCUACCACCGCAUUGCAAGCGGUACCGGAGUGCCAAGUCUAGGACGAAAAGGCUUCUCAAUGGUUUUUACCCCCAAGUCAUAAGACUCCUGAACAGGUAAUCAAAUGGUUACCCGGACUAUUUGCAUUGUGUUCCUCCCCCAAACCCCCUUUUUACACGGCUGCUACUCUCUAUUUAUCAUAUAUGCACAGUCACUUUAACUAUACAUUCAUUUACAUACUACCUCAAUUGGGCCGACCAACCAGUGCUCCCGCACAUUGGCUAACCGGGCUAUUUGCAUUGUGUCCCACCACCCGCCAACCCCUCUUUUACAUUAUUGCUACUCUCUGUUCAUCAUGUAUGCAUAGUCACUUUAACCAUAUCUACAUGUACAUACUACCGCAAUCAGCCUGACUAACCGGUGUCUGUAUGUAGCCUCGCUACUUUUAUAGCCUUGCUACUGUUAUAGCCUGUCUUUUUACUGUUGUUUUAUUUCUUUACCUACCUAUUGUUCACCUAAUACCUUUUUUCACUAUUGGUUAGAGCCUGUAAGUCAUUAUUUCACUAAGUUCUAUACCUGUUGUAUUCAGCGCACGUGCCAAAUAAACUUUGAUUUGAUUUGAAA